GAUGAACGCUGGCGGCGUGCCUAAUACAUGCAAGUCGAGCGAACAGACGAGGAGCUUGCUCCUCUGACGUUAGCGGCGGACGGGUGAGUAACACGUGGAUAACCUACCUAUAAGACUGGGAUAACUUCGGGAAACCGGAGCUAAUACCGGAUAAUAUAUUGAACCGCAUGGUUCAAUAGUGAAAGACGGUUUUGCUGUCACUUAUAGCUGGAUCCGCGCCGCAUUAGCUAGUUGGUAAGGUAACGGCUUACCAAGGCGACGAUGCGUAGCCGACCUGAGAGGGUGAUCGGCCACACUGGAACUGAGACACGGUCCAGACUCCUACGGGAGGCAGCAGUAGGGAAUCUUCCGCAAUGGGCGAAAGCCUGACGGAGCAACGCCGCGUGAGUGAUGAAGGUCUUCGGAUCGUAAAACUCUGUUAUUAGGGAAGAACAGAUGUGUAAGUAACUAUGCACGUCUUGACGGUACCUAAUCAGAAAGCCACGGCUAACUACGUG
rnacentral:rRNA from 1 species